rnacentral:lncRNA from 1 species
UUUUAAACUUCCAAACGGCUACUUUUUGCAAAGAGCCGUUACUGAAAUUAUUUUUAUAAAUUUUAAUUUUUGAAAAAUGGCCGUUGGAACCGCCAGAACCGGCUGGAACCGCCAGAACCGGUCCAGAACCGCCAUCCGGUUCCGGUUCUGGCGGGUCCGGUUCUAGCAGUUCCAACGGGUAGAACCGCCCCACCAUGGUUCCCUGGAACCGGUAGAACCGGAACAGGCAGAACCGGCAGGGCCACGGAUCCGGUCCGGUUCCGGUUCGGAACCGCGACACCAUACACCCUUAUAUUGUAAUGAAAACUGAACUUCAAUUACUUUACACUCUAAAGGCAUGAUAUAUAAUUAUAAAGCUGAUUUUAACCAUAUAUGUAUAAUCUAUAUUAUUAAAGUCAUUUAGAUCCUAUAGACAUGGUUUCUAAUUGUGUGGAAGUAAAGCAAACCUAACAAACACAUUUGAAUUAACAUGGACCCUAUAGGCAUGGUAUCUACCCAAUUUAUCCAAUAUAUAUAACUACUCUCCCCUUUUUACUAAUCACCCCACUAUUUUUUUACAAUAAUUAUUACGGACCAAUGAAAUUAAAUGAAAUUUUUUAAUUAAACAGAACAAAAAUUAGUCUCAAAUGCAGUAGGCCCAAAUGACUUCCAAGCCUCCAAUAGCCUCAAAUGCCGAAAGUUCCAUAGCUAAUUUUAUGUCUAGGCGUGUCAGAGUUCCCCAAGGACCUCAAGGAUCCCAGGACAAUGAUCACACCUAGACCUUUUCUUAAACAAUAAUUGAUUUAGGUGCGGUGUAGAAAGGCCAGCUCUGACAUGCCAGAGUUCAGAGAGAUCUCAAGGAUCUCAAGGUAGUACACAUAUUAGAGGGGCAGAACCUAGUACUCUAAGAGUGAAGUGAGAGUGUUUGACAUAGUUUUUAAAAAGGUUUUGAAAAUAGUACAAAUAUGAGUUUUGAAGUAAAAAAGAUUUUUUAGAAAUAAUAAAUUUGUUUGGUGGUAAAAGACAGUUUGAGAAGAGUACCAAAACAGCAGAAAUCAAUUGGUCAUCAAAAAUAUCUAGAUUCGAAAAGCACUUAACAAACAGAUCUUGCAUGGGGAUAAAGAGAUUGGGGCACAUAAGAUUCACAUUGGGGUACAUGGAUAUGGUAUAAGAGGAAACAUAUAGUCAACCAUACUGCAUAAACACUUAGGAUCUUAGGGACUUUGGCAGGCUAGUCAUGUACAUUAAAUAGUUAAGACAUAGAUCACAAUUGUAAUACAGAAAACCUGACAUGUCUUGAACAGGAUUAAACAUACAGUAUAGACAUACUAGGCAAAGAAGUAAGCAGGAAAGAGUGCAGAAUAUAAAGCAUACAUUGAACAGGACAGAGUUUAGACAUGCUGAGCAAAGAAGUAAACAGGAAUACAAGUUGAAUUCAAAACUGACAAACUAGUGCAGGAAUAACAUACAUAGAGUUUGGAUUUCAAAACUUAACUAGAGACAAACCAGUUGAAGAAAAGAGUGCAGAAUAUAAAGCAAAUAAAGUUCCAAUUUCUAGCCUUGGUUUUCAGCCGACUAGAUAAGUGAAUAUCACAAGUAGUGGAGGAGAAAAGAAAGCGUUAGGGUGUAAGUGUGUUUUUUUAUGAACUGAUAUUCUGUUUUGAAGUGAGAAUAGAAGAGUGCUUAUAUAACAGCUCGAGGGUAGAGUCAAUAAGAUAAAAGAAUCAGAAGUCAGCAAUUAAGGGUAACCAGAAUCCACUCAUAUAAGGAGUUCAGAAUAGACUCCUUUAGUUAGGGGUAAUUAGCCCAACGGUAACAACAUUGAUUUAAUUAAAGCAAAAAAUACCAAACUAUACCAAAUAAAGAAUCGGUAAGAAUCCAAAAGUUAUACGGGCAAGCAAUUAAGGUAGAGACGAUCAAUUAAAGUUGUAAACAAGGAAACAAAUAAACUCUAUACAUACCAAUCUUUAAAGGAGUAAUCAAUAAGCCUGAAUUUCAAAGUAAUACUGAUUUCUAGAAAGAAUAUAUAUCAGUUCCCAUAAAUAGAAAACAAACUAAGUAAAAUUUCACAGAAACAUAGAACUUAGUUGGAAAAAAUUAGGUUAGAACCCUAAUAGAUCUCAGUUAUAGAGAAUCGUGAAAGAUUCAACAAGUUUAGCAGAUAAAAUAAGGUAAGAAAUGAAUAGCCAGGAUUCAACACAUAAUUUUAACAAAAUAGAUAGUCAAAUCGACAUUGAUUCAAGGAGAAAGAUAUAUGUCUUAACAUGAGUAGUUAGGAUGAACACAAACAUAUAAAAUCAGUAAAAAUUGAAUUAAGAAUCUCAGUAGAGGCAUGUUAGGGUAAGAAAACCAUGAGAUAUUCAAAUGGCUAAAGAGGAAUCACAAGAACCAAAGCAAGAACACAGUCGAUAUAGCAGUACUCAAAAACCAAACGAAGAACGUCAGAAAAUUAGGGCAUUUAGUACAACCGAGUUAAGGUUGUAGCAAACUUACAAAAUCAGUCAAAACACAUGAGAAACAGGAGACCAAACGCUCAAAAAUCAUCGAACAUUCUAUAAAAGAAAUUUCCGAAAACCCUAGUUUAGAAUGAGAUGAAAGUCACUUGAAAAUCAUACGAUUCUUGUAAAUAAUCUCAAGAUUGUUGUAAAACUCAUAUGAAAUAAGUCCAAAUCAUCUCAGAUUUGUACAGAUCUAAGAGGUUCAGAAGAAAGAAAUUAGGGUUUCGAGGAGAACAAAAUAAAGAUGAGUAAACAUGCUUAGAAACCCAUAGAUCAUAGUUAAUAUAGGACAAUCUUACUCGAAAUCAUACUGGAACAGCCUGAAACAGGCGAGAAAUGGACCAUAGAUGCAAGCCAACUGACCAUGGUCCCUUGAGAGCCCUGGAGAUGGCAAUGCCAACGUGAGGGAGGCCAUUAAAGGCCAUGGGAUGGUGAGAAACCAUCAUAUAUAGCCAUAGAUGAGUGUCAGUAAGGUCUGAUUAGGGUUAGGCUUGAGAGAGUUUGAGAGAAGAGAGGGAUUUCAGGACAGCAGAU